rnacentral:rRNA from 1 species
CUACGGGCCGCUCCAGUGAGGAAUAUUGCACAAUGGGGGGAACCCUGAUGCAGCAACGCCGCGUGGAGGAUGACGCAUUUCGGUGUGUAAACUCCUUUUAUAUGUCAAGAAAAUGACGGUAGCAUAUGAAUAAGCACCGGCUAACUCCGUGCCAGCAGCCGCGGUAGUAGGGAGGGUGCAAGCGUUACUCGGAAUCACUGGGCGUAAAGGACGCGUAGGCGGGUUGGAAAGUCAGGUGUGAAAUCCUACAGCUUAACUGUAGAACUGCACUUGAAACUUCUAACCUAGAGUAUGGGAGGGGGAGAUGGAAUUAGUGGUGUAGGGGUAAAAUCCGUAGAUAUCACUAGGAAUACCUAAAGCGAAGGCGAUCUCCUGGAACAUUACUGACGCUAAGGCGUGAAAGCGUGGGGAGCAAACAGGAUUAGAUACCCUAGUAGUC